UUCUCUGCAACAGGAAAUAAACAGUCACUAUUUAGUGAUUUAUACAUUUGAAUGGACCAAGAGUCAGCCAUCUUGUGUUAAAGGCCUGAAUGCCCAGCCUACUAACAGAUCGAGGGGGAGGCACCUUUUGACAUUCUCUACAGAUGGCUGAAUUCUAAUCUUGAUCCUUAGGGUCUUUAAAAAUGACCUUCUGCAAACCUUGAAAAUCUUUAACAUCAUAAACUUCCUGACCAGAAAUAUCACACUAGAAAUCUUACACAUGAAAUCACAACUAAUAUGUGCCUACUCGGGUCCAAAGUGGCCUUGUGAAGAGGAAACUGAACUCAAGCACUGGUUACUUAAAUAUUUAGAAUGUUUCUUUAAAAUAUGGUAGAAAUUUCAUAAAAUGAACGGAGUCUAUUUGAGAGAAAAAUGUUUUGUUUUGGCUUUGUUACCCAGGCACAGCUGGAUCAAGUUCUCUCUCCUUCACUGUGCUUGUUAGUCUCUCUUUAAGCUCACCCCUACAUCCACUCUCCACCCUUCUUGUCUUCCAUCACCGUCCGGCACUCUAUCCAGUUCUUCUUUGCCCUCUAACUCCCUUCCAUUUCACUUCUACCAGUGGCAGGACCAGCAGAGAUAAGAGAUGAAAACCUCCUGGUGUAUUUUCCUCCACUGCCUCCAAGCAUCUGAGCCUUGUGGUUCUAGCAGGACUGGGUGUUUGUAUGAUUGUCUAUAGCACACUGUUCCAGCCGAAUGGCCUCUACAUCCUCUACAUUCAUUUCCAAGAAUAAUGAAAAUUUUCGACUCCUGGUGGUUCCUGGUGGUUUUAGUAUCUCCUUAAUCCUGCAUACACCUUUACAAAUUCUCCAGAAUUCCCUGAGUGUGCCUUCUUUUCCUUGCAGGAUUUCUGACUUUGGAUGAAAAUUUCAAGCUAUCCCCCAGCCAAGAAAAGAUUCCCCGAGUCGGCAUGCUGCUUAAAGAGUCAAUGAGGCAGAGUGGACAGUGAGACAGAGAAAGGUCUUCCUUUUCCUUUGGUUCACCCUCCAAUGGCCGCUGCAGCCGGCACACCGCGCUGAUCCGAAGGCAGGAGCCAGGUGCUUCUCCUGGUCUCCCAUGUGGGUGCAGGGCCCAAGUACUUGGGCCAUCCUCCACUGCACUACCGGGCCACAGCAGAGAGCUGGACAGGAAGAGGAGUGACCGGGACAGAAUCUGGUGACCCUACUGGGACUAGAACCCGGUGUGCCGGUGCCGCAGGCGGAAGAUUAGCCUAUUGAGCCGCGGCGCCUGCCACAAUGUUCUUAGACAUUUAUCUCCAUCAUGACCAGACUAUUACAUUGAACAAUCACCAGCGUGAGUGUGAAAACAAACAUUAAAACACUUGGUUGGAACGCUUUAUACUUUGCACAGAAUGGAAACUAAAAACUAUUAAACCUCUUACACAAUUA